rnacentral:rRNA from 1 species
UUAAAAAGCUCGUAGUUGGAUUUCUGCGGGAGACGAAGGGUCUACCUUACGGGUAAGCAUCUCUCAGGCUCCUGCAUCCUCAACAGGAACGUCGCUGCGAUUCAUUUCGUGGUACGGUACUGUUGACUUUUACUUUGAGGAAAUUAGAGUGUUCACGGCAAGCAAACGCGUGUAUACAUUAGCAUGGAAUAAUAAUAUAGGACCUUGGAUCUAUUUUGUUGGUUUCUAGAACUAAGGUAAUGAUAAAUAGGGACAGUUUGGGGGCAUUUGUACUAACGCGUCAGAGGUGGAAUUCUUGGAUUGCGUUAUGACAAACUACUGCGAAAGCAUUUGCCAAGGAUGUUUUCAUUGAUCAAGAACGAAAGUAUGGGGAUCGAAAGACGAUUAGAUACCCGUCCGUAAGUCUAUACCAUAAACUAUGCCAACUAGGAAUGA